rnacentral:rRNA from 1 species
UCGCGGUAUGGGAUGGGGUCGCGUCCUAUCAGCUUGACGGCGGGGUAACGGCCCACCGUGGCUUCGACGGGUAGCCGGCCUGAGAGGGCGACCGGCCACAUUGGGACUGAGAUACGGCCCAGACUCCUACGGGAGGCAGCAGUGGGGAAUAUUGCACAAUGGGCGCAAGCCUGAUGCAGCGACGCCGCGUGAGGGAUGGAGGCCUUCGGGUUGUAAACCUCUUUUAUCGGGGAGCAAGCGAGAGUGAGUUUACCCGUUGAGUAAGCACCGGCUAACUACGUGCCAGCAGCCGCGGUAAUACGUAGGGUGCAAGCGUUAUCCGGAAUUAUUGGGCGUAAAGGGCUCGUAGGCGGUUCGUCGCGUCCGGUGUGAAAGUCCAUCGCUUAACGGUGGAUCCGCGCCGGGUACGGGCGGG